UGGGGAAUAUUGCACAAUGGGCGCAAGCCUGAUGCAGCCAUGCCGCGUGUAUGAAGAAGGCCUUCGGGUUGUAAAGUACUUUCAGCGAGGAGGAAGGCAUUGUGGUUAAUAACCGCAGUGAUUGACGUUACUCGCAGAAGAAGCACCGGCUAACUCCGUGCCAGCAGCCGCGGUAAUACGGAGGGUGCAAGCGUUAAUCGGAAUUACUGGGCGUAAAGCGCACGCAGGCGGGCUGUCAAGUCGGAUGUGAAAUCCCCGGGCUCAACCUGGGAACUGCAUCCGAAACUGGCAGGCUAGAGUCUUGUAGAGGGGGGUAGAAUUCCAGGUGUAGCGGUGAAAUGCGUAGAGAUCUGGAGGAAUACCGGUGGCGAAGGCGGCCCCCUGGACAAAGACUGACGCUCAGGUGCGAAAGCGUGGGGAGCAAACA
rnacentral:rRNA from 1 species